rnacentral:lncRNA from 1 species
CACUCAGCUUUCUGAAAUGGUGUCCCACCACAAGGACUGGAGAAGGGCCAUGAGAGAAGCAGUACCUUAUAAUGGUUCCUUGUUCAAAGCACUCAAUAUUCCUAGGAUGUGGUCUCCCAGCUGACUUCAUAACUGAAUCAUCAGUAAUUAAUUUCAUUGUUCUAUUAGGCUGGAGUCCAAUGGUGGGAUGUCUGCCUACUGCAACCUCUGCCUCCCAGGUUCAAGCGAUUCUCCUGUCUCAGCCUCCCGAGGAGAUGGGACUACAGGCACCCUUGGAAAUGCAAUGCUAUAUCUCAAUGGGAUUUUCCAGUACAGAGAUUCUUUUCAAUAACAUAAUUGUGGAUACACACCACUCCUGUAGUGGUAAACCUCAGGUUCU